rnacentral:rRNA from 1 species
CGAUGGAUAGGGGUUCUGAGAGGAAGGUCCCCCACAUUGGAACUGAGACACGGUCCAAACUCCUACGGGAGGCAGCAGUGAGGAAUAUUGGUCAAUGGGCGAGAGCCUGAACCAGCCAAGUAGCGUGAAGGAUGACUGCCCUAUGGGUUGUAAACUUCUUUUAUAAAGGAAUAAAGUCGGGUAUGGAUACCCGUUUGCAUGUACUUUAUGAAUAAGGAUCGGCUAACUCCGUGCCAGCAGCCGCGGUAAUACGGAGGAUCCGAGCGUUAUCCGGAUUUAUUGGGUUUAAAGGGAGCGUAGAUGGAUGUUUAAGUCAGUUGUGAAAGUUUGCGGCUCAACCGUAAAAUUGCAGUUGAUACUGGAUAUCUUGAGUGCAGUUGAGGCAGGCGGAAUUCGUGGUGUAGCGGUGAAAUGCUUAGAUAUCACGAAGAACUCCGAUUGCGAAGGCAGCCUGCUAAGCUGCAACUGACAUUGAGGCUCGAAAGUGUGGGUAUCAAACAGGAUUAGAUACCCUGGUAGUCCACACGGUAAACGAUGAAUACUCGCUGUUUGCGAUAUACUGCAAGCGGCCAAGCGAAAGCGUUAAGUAUUCCACCUGGGG